rnacentral:piRNA from 1 species
UCCCAACAGGAGACGCGAACAAAGG